rnacentral:lncRNA from 12 species
GGGGUACAAUAUGGAUGGAGGCCAGACUUUAAGGAGAUUACUGGCUACCCACAAAGAGGUAUCCCUGUGGAAUUUGGGGGGGGGGGGACAAACGUUUUAUAUCAGCUGAAUCCACCCAUGGAUCGUAAGAUCACAUCAUUUCCUUUUGGCUGAUGGCCUGUAUCUGCACCGUAACCGGAUCUUUAUCACUCUCUUCAUUUACUCACUCAUCAGUGUCUUCAAGGCCUACGAUGUGUUGGACACUGUCCUAGGCAACGGCGACACGCGAACAAGAUGAGCCUGUCACUUCUCGGCGCUCACAUUCUGAUGGGAAGGAGAGAGAGAGAGACAAUAAGGGCCAAGUGAUGGUUCAUUGUUUACAAGAAAGAGUUUUCCCUCAGUGUGAUUUGUCCCUUCCGGCUCUGGGCAGAAGGGAGAGGCGCUCCUGCUCCUCAGGCCGCUGCCUCUGGGUGCCACCGCCCUCCCUCCUGUGGGUCCUCUUCCUCAGGAUGAGCAGCCCUGGAGACUGUGCUGUCAACAGGUGCCCAGUGGUCACCCAAAGGGACACAAGGUGCUCUCCAUGGGGCGCUUCCUGUGGGACACGCUGCUGUGGGAGGCCGCGGGUCACUCUCCUCCAGGGGCCUGCUCUUCCCCUGGGGCCAGUGACAGUGGGCAAGGCCCCUCUCUCGGGGCACAGGUCUAGGCUCUUCUCUCAGCCAGUCGGAGCAACACUGUCCCCUUCACGGUGUUUGACAGCUUACAAAGGCUUUGCUCACACCGUCUUCUGUUUCUACACAUGGCAGCUCGGAAAAUUAUCUUCAAAGACAGUAAACAUCCCCCCAACCAUCUGGGUGCCCCAGAGUCUGUGCCACACCUUCUGAUCCCCAACCCCCCCUGCUUUCCACUAUCCCACUGCUCAUUUUCCCUACAUCACCGACUUCUCCCACUCCCUCCUUCUUUCUUUUUUAUUUAUUUUUUAAUUUUUUAUUUCCACUCCCUCCUUCUUUCUCUCCCUCUCUCCCUCCCUGUCUCCUCUUUAUGGUUCAGAUAUUUUUAAGGCUGAAAGAAUAUAAAAGUGAAGUAGCCAUUCCUAACUAACCUCUUACAUAGCUUACUUCUGAUUGUCAUUGUCUUCUUCUUCUUCUUUUUAUUUCUUUCUUUUUUUAUUUUUUAGGACUGGAUUUGGGUAAUGUCUACCUCCACCGUGGGGCUUGGACUUACAACCUUGAGAUCCAGAGUCCUGUGCUCCGCCGACUGAGCCAGCCAGGCACCCCUCAUCUUCUUUUUGGGAAUAAAAUGCUUAGCAUUCUUCUAUCA